UUAGAGUGUUGGUAAGGUAAUGGCUUACCAAAUCGAUUAUCCUUAACUGGUCUGGGAGGAUGUACAGUCACAUUGGGUCUGAAACAGAACCCAACUAUCGAAGGGGUAGCAGCAGUAGGGAAUCUUGGACAAUGUGCUAACGCACGAUCCAGCAAUGCUUUAGAGGUGAAGAAGGUUCAAGAAAUCGUAAAUCCGUUAUAAUAGAUAUGAGAUUGGAAGGUGCUAUCUUUAUCGUUACUAUUAUAGAAGCUCCGACUAACUUCGUGCCAGCAGUCGCGGUAAUACGAGGGGAGCAAGUGUUAUUCAUACUGAUUGGGCGUAAAGGGUACGUAGGUUGUUAAUUAAGUUUGAAGUUAAAGUCU
rnacentral:rRNA from 1 species